AAGAUCUCAGGAGUGACUCCCUCCAUCGGCGCCAAACAAAAUGCCAUGCGAGGCGUCGUGUGUGAGCCGCCAGGCGGCGCUGUAACACAGCUUUACCUCCUCCGGGUGCUCGAGUUGCCAACCUCUGGGUCCUUUUUCUGCAACUCGUGGCGAGACAGAUGUUCCACUAUGCCUGCACCAAUGGAGUCUCCAAGGACAUUAGUGGUGGUGCGCAAUCGAUCCCUGAGGGAACACAAAGAACAGUCUGUGAAAUUUGGAAUCUGAUCACAUACCUAGAGGAUGUUCCCAGAGCAGUGAUAAGUGCCUGCAAGAUCCCAGCAAUGAAAACGAAGGGAUUCUUCCUGGUGACGGC